GAAACCUACGGGGGGCAGCAGUGGGGGAUAUUGCACAAUGGGGGGAACCCUGAUGCAGCGACGCCGCGUGGGUGAAGGAGCGUUUCGGCGCGUAAAGCCCUAUCGGCAGGGGAGAAGAUGACGGUAACUGACCAAGAAGCCCCGGCUAACUACGUGCCAGCAGCCGCGGUAAUACGUAGGGGGCAAGCGUUAUCCGGAUUUACUGGGGGUAAAGGGGGCGCAGACGGCAAUGCAAGCCAGGAGUGAAAGCCCGGGGCCCAACCCCGGGACUGCUCUUGGAACCGCAUGGCUGGAGUAUAGGAGGG
rnacentral:rRNA from 1 species